rnacentral:rRNA from 1 species
CCUACGGGGGGCUGCAGUGGGGAAUAUUGGGCAAUGGAGGAAACUCUGACCCAGCAACGCCGCGUGAAUGAUGAAGGUCUUCGGAUUGUAAAGUUCUUUUCUAAGGGAAGAAGAAAGUGACGGUACCUGAUGAAUAAGCCACGGCUAACUACGUGCCAGCAGCCGCGGUAAUACGUAGGUGGCAAGCGUUAUCCGGAUUUACUGGGUGUAAAGGGCGUGUAGGCGGGAAAGCAAGUCAGAUGUGAAAACCAUGGGCUCAACCUGUGGCCUGCAUUUGAAACUGUUUUUCUUGAGUACUGGGGAGGCAGACGGAGUUCCUAGUGUAGCGGUGAAAUGCGUAGAUAUUAGGAGGAACACCAGUGGCGAAGGCGGUCUGCUGGACAGCAACUGACGCUGAGGCGCGAAAGCGUGGGGAGCAAACAGGAUUAGAUACCCCGGUAGUC